GAGCAAUUUUGAAAUUUAUAAUGAAAUUACGAAGUCAGCAGAUGGACUCCGGUCUGCAAGCGUUCUUCAAGUGUGCAUCAGUGCUGGCCAUCUUGAUCUCUCUUGGUCUUGGUUUGAGGCCAACAAAUCGAACGGAUGACGGUGCCAGUCCUAAGCAUAAUAAUAAUGAUCAUAACGACAUUGUGCAUAAAGUGGAAUUCUCGAAUCAAAAUCAGCUCAUUACGGAGGCUAAUGUAAGCACAACAAAGCCAUUCUGCGAGAUUUAUUCAACAGCUUUAAGUGGUCGGGAUGAAGGAGGAGCAGCAGCUGGAGGAGGAGGAAGAUGAUGCAGCGCUAAUGACAUUAUGCACGAUUGCCUUAAAGGAAAAGACAGAAUCAGAAUCGAAUUCAGAUUUUGUUAACGAAUCAAUGCAGUCAAAAGAAGUCGACUCUGAAGCGGUGUGAAAAGGCUUUCAUUUCAAACGCAAACAAUCGCUGCGAGUAGGAAUUGAAAUUAAUUUCAUGUAUCAUCAUUAAUCAAAACACUCGCUCGCGAGCA